UGAUCCUGGCUCAGGAUGAACGCUAGCUACAGGCUUAACACAUGCAAGUCGAGGGGCAGCAUGAACUUAGCUUGCUAAGUUUGAUGGCGACCGGCGCACGGGUGAGUAACACGUAUCCAACCUCCCGUUUACUCAGGGAUAGCCUUUCGAAAGAAAGAUUAAUACCUGAUAGUAUGGUGAGAUUGCAUGAUAACACCAUUAAAGAUUUAUUGGUUAAACGAUGGGGAUGCGUUCCAUUAGGUAG
rnacentral:rRNA from 1 species